UUGUAAUUUGUAGAAGGUGCCUCGGGGGAGAUGUAGGUGCAAGUCCCCUGGAACGGGGCGUCGCAGAGGGUGAGAAUCCCGUACGCCACCGGAGGUCGACCCCGCGUGAGGCCCUUUCGACGAGUCGAGUUGUUUGGGAAUGCAGCUCUAAAUGGGUGGUAAAUUUCAUCUAAGGCUAAAUAUCCGCCAGAGACCGAUAGCGCACAAGUAGAGUGAUCGAAAGAUGAAAAGCACUUUGAAAAGAGAGUCAAACAGUACGUGAAAUUGUUGAAAGGGAAGCGCUUGCAACCAGACUCGCCCGCGCGUGCUCAGCCGUCCUCCGGGGCGGUGCACUCUCGCGCGGGCGGGCCAGCAUCGGUUUCGGCGGCCGGACAAAGGCUCUGGGAACGUAGCUCCCUUCGGGGAGUGUUAUAGCCUGGGGUGCAAUGCGGCCCGCCGGGACCGAGGAUCGCGCUCUUGCUAGGAUGCUGGCGUAAUGGUUGCCAGCGACCCGUCUUGAAACACGGACCAAGGAGUCGACCAACCGCGCGAGUGUUUGGGUGAAAAGCCCACGACGCGCAAUGAAAGUGAACGCAGGUGGGAGCUUCGGCGCACCAUCGACCGAUCUUGAUGUCCUCGGAUGGAUUUGAGUAAGAGCGCGCUUGGUCGGACCCGAAAGUCAGUGAUCUAUGCGUGAAUAGGGUGAAGCCAGAGGAAACUCUGGUGGAGGCUCGCAGCGGUUCUGACGUGCAAAUCGAUCGUCAAAUUUGCGCAUAGGGGCGAAAGACUAAUCGAACUGACUAGUAGCUGGUUCCUGUCGAAGUUUCCCUCAGGAUAGCAGCAGCGAGAAACAGUCUCAUGAGGUAGAGCGAACGAUUAGAGGACUGGGGGGUGUAACACCCUUCACCUAUUCUCGAACUUCGAAUGCGUGAGAGGCCCUUGUCACUUAGUUGGA
rnacentral:rRNA from 1 species